rnacentral:tRNA from 1 species
GAGGACAUAGCUCAGUAAUAGAGUGCGUGCUUAGCACGCACAAGGUCCUGGGUUCAAUCCCCAGCGCCUCCA